rnacentral:tRNA from 1 species
GCCGAAGUGAUGGAAUAGGUAGACAUGUCGGUCUCAAAAACCGAUGCCUUUCCGGGCGUGCCGGUUCGACUCCGGCCUUCGGCACCA